rnacentral:rRNA from 1 species
AAUCAACGCUGGCGGCGUGCCUAACACAUGCAAGUCGAACGCGAAAGCCCCUUCGGGGGCGAAGUAGAGUGGCGUCCGGGUGAGUAACACGUGGGUAAUCUACCUCCGGGUGGGGAAUAACUCGCCGAAAGGUGGGCUAAUACCGCAUAAUGCAGCGGCACCGAAUGGUGAUUAGUUGUUAAAGCGGGGGACCUUAGGCCUCGCGUCUGGAGAGGAGCCUGCGGCAGAUUAGCUUGUUGGUAGGGAAUGGCCUACCAAGGCGACGACGGGUAGCCGGCCUGAGAGGGCGACCGGCCACACUGGGACUGAGACACGGCCCAGACUCCUACGGGAGGGCAGCAGUGGGGAAUCUUGCGCAAUGGGCGAAAGCCUGACGCAGCGACGCCGCGUGAGGGAUGACGGCCU